UUAGGCGGGUGUAUCCGAAAUUUU
rnacentral:snRNA from 1 species